AAUUAUUUGGCUUUCUUUAAGAAUAAACAAAAGGAAAAGUAUAUAUAAUUACAAAGUAAUAAAUUAUGAUAACGGUUAAGAAAUGUGUGUUAAGUUAAU